rnacentral:rRNA from 3 species
AGAGUUUGAUCAUGGCUCAGAUUGAACGCUGGCGGCAGGCCUAACACAUGCAAGUCGAGCGGUAGCACAGAGAGCUUGCUCUCGGGUGACGAGCGGCGGACGGGUGAGUAAUGUCUGGGAAACUGCCUGAUGGAGGGGGAUAACUACUGGAAACGGUAGCUAAUACCGCAUAACGUCGCAAGACCAAAGUGGGGGACCUUCGGGCCUCAUGCCAUCAGAUGUGCCCAGAUGGGAUUAGCUAGUAGGUGGGGUAAUGGCUCACCUAGGCGACGAUCCCUAGCUGGUCUGAGAGGAUGACCAGCCACACUGGAACUGAGACACGGUCCAGACUCCUACGGGAGGCAGCAGUGGGGAAUAUUGCACAAUGGGCGCAAGCCUGAUGCAGCCAUGCCGCGUGUGUGAAGAAGGCCUUCGGGUUGUAAAGCACUUUCAGCGGGGAGGAAGGCGUUAAGGUUAAUAACCUUGGCGAUUGACGUUACCCGCAGAAGAAGCACCGGCUAACUCCGUGCCAGCAGCCGCGGUAAUACGGAGGGUGCAAGCGUUAAUCGGAAUUACUGGGCGUAAAGCGCACGCAGGCGGUCUGUCAAGUCGGAUGUGAAAUCCCCGGGCUCAACCUGGGAACUGCAUUCGAAACUGGCAGGCUAGAGUCUUGUAGAGGGGGGUAGAAUUCCAGGUGUAGCGGUGAAAUGCGUAGAGAUCUGGAGGAAUACCGGUGGCGAAGGCGGCCCCCUGGACAAAGACUGACGCUCAGGUGCGAAAGCGUGGGGAGCAAACAGGAUUAGAUACCCUGGUAGUCCACGCCGUAAACGAUGUCGAUUUGGAGGUUGUGCCCUUGAGGCGUGGCUUCCGGAGCUAACGCGUUAAAUCGACCGCCUGGGGAGUACGGCCGCAAGGUUAAAACUCAAAUGAAUUGACGGGGGCCCGCACAAGCGGUGGAGCAUGUGGUUUAAUUCGAUGCAACGCGAAGAACCUUACCUGGUCUUGACAUCCACAGAACUUUCCAGAGAUGGAUUGGUGCCUUCGGGAACUGUGAGACAGGUGCUGCAUGGCUGUCGUCAGCUCGUGUUGUGAAAUGUUGGGUUAAGUCCCGCAACGAGCGCAACCCUUAUCCUUUGUUGCCAGCGGUUAGGCCGGGAACUCAAAGGAGACUGCCAGUGAUAAACUGGAGGAAGGUGGGGAUGACGUCAAGUCAUCAUGGCCCUUACGACCAGGGCUACACACGUGCUACAAUGGCAUAUACAAAGAGAAGCGACCUCGCGAGAGCAAGCGGACCUCAUAAAGUAUGUCGUAGUCCGGAUUGGAGUCUGCAACUCGACUCCAUGAAGUCGGAAUCGCUAGUAAUCGUAGAUCAGAAUGCUACGGUGAAUACGUUCCCGGGCCUUGUACACACCGCCCGUCACACCAUGGGAGUGGGUUGCAAAAGAAGUAGGUAGCUUAACCUUCGGGAGGGCGCUUACCACUUUGUGAUUCAUGACUGGGGUGAAGUCGUAACAAGGUAACCGUAGGGGAACCUGCGGUUG